GGGAAUUUAGUUUAAUCGGUAGAGCAUUUAUCUUACAAAUAAAAUGAGGUAGUUCGAAUCUACCAAUUCCUA
rnacentral:tRNA from 1 species